ACACAUGCAACCUAAUGGCAAAAAGGAGAUUGUAAAACACAGACUCCUGCCUGCCCAUCACAGUGACGCACUGUAAAUCCCAGCAGAGGCAAGUAGAUUUCUAGGAGUUUGAGGCCAGUCUGUUCUACACAGCCAGGGCUACAGAGUAAAACCUGUCUCCAAAAAUUAAAAAAAAAAAGAUAAUAAUAAUUAUAUAUGUAUGUAUAUGAAUGUAUUAUGUAUGUUUACAGACACACACAAACCAAACUCAUAAAUAAACAAAUAAAUAACAAGUAAAUAUGUGGUGGGGAAGGCCUUGAAAGUGAAGAAGAGAAAUGAAAGAGAAGCAACAUUGAUUGGGCGAGGGGGUUGAAGAAGUGCUAAGGAGUCAGCAGGUCAGUCACUGCAGGUCAGUCACGCUGCGCCGCUGCGGACACCCUAAGUCACCCUAAGUCACCUCAUCAAGAGAUGAAAAAGCUAAAAGCAGCUGGAUAGUGGUGGCGCACACCCUUAGUCCCAGCUCCUGAGAGGCAGAGGUUUCUGAGUUCAAAUCUAGCCUUGUCUACAGAGCAAGUUCCAGGACACCAAAGCUACAACAGAGAGGAAGAUCAGAGGAAAUUGCUGAGAUGUCCACCAAGUUUAUAAUCCUAAAAUGUAGUGCAGGAGGUUUACAGGUGAUUGGUAAAUCUGAAAACAGCCUGUCUGUUCCUAGUGUGUAAUAAGACUGAAAGGGGUGAAACUCCACUCAGGUUUCGGCAGAGCCGCUGUAGAUGUGCCACACACACUCCUCAGGACUCAAGCAGGGUUUGCUUCUGCCAUGUGACUAUCUGGGUGACUUUAGAGUUCAGACUUCUCCGAAUUUAGAGAACUUGCUGGUUCUUGCUAGUGGUCCCUUGGGAAGCUUUGGCCAGGGCUAACAGAUGCCCUCCCCUUCCUCCCUCCUUCCCUUUCACAGUGUGCUGCUUGGUAUGGGGAGCCAGAAUCAAUUCUGAAGAGUCAGAAGGAGAGGCCCCAUGUGCACUGCGUUACAUUGCCAUUCCCAGCAUCUCCAAAGCAACGGUCUCCGUCUUCCAGUUGUGUGUGCUUAUCUCCUUGAGACUUCUUCAGUCUCCAUCUUCCAGUUGUGUGUGCUUAUCUAUCUCCUUGAGACUUCUUCUUUUUUAAUUAAAGGUUUAUUUAUUUUU
rnacentral:lncRNA from 1 species